GUGCUCGCUUCGGCAGCACAUAUACUAAAAAUUGGAACGAUACUGAGAAGAUUAGCACAGCCCCUGCACAAGGAUGACCCAUGGAUUUGUGAAGCGUUCCAUAUUAAA